rnacentral:rRNA from 1 species
UACGUAGGGACCGAGCGUUGUCCGGAAUCAUUGGGCGUAAAGAGCGUGUAGGCGGCCACUUAAGUCCUGCGUGAAAUCCUGCGGCUCAACCGCAGGCGGUCGUGGGAAACUGGGUGGCUAGAGUGCGGGAGAGGAGAGUGGAAUUCCUGGUGUAGCGGUGGAAUGCGCAGAUAUCAGGAGGAACACCGGUGGCGAAGGCGGGUCUCUGGGCAGUAACUGACGCUGGAGGAGCGAAAGCGUGGGGAGCGAACAGG